AUUUAUUUCAGAGUGAAAAAUAAAAAAUAUAUUUAUAAACCAGAUAUAAUUGUAUCAACUGAAACGUGGCGUGAUACACAUUCUCGUAACAUGUUAUUACCAGGUUGACGUGUACUUUUCAAAAAUAAAAUUAAACCGAAACGACGGUGUUUCAGUUUUUUAGGAGAAUAAUUUAUCUUUAGAUUUUUUUUUUUUUUUUAGUUUAGUUUAUUUAAAGCCGCGUCCAGACUAGACGACCAAGGGUAUCAAAGGUACGUGUGACGACCUCAUUCGGCGAUACAUGUUGGUCUCGGUGUGGACAGCGCGACCGAACGAAUGCCAACGGCGAACGUGACUUCGCUCGGAGAGCGGUACAUCAAAGGAAUUCGCUAUCGGUUUGGACGAGAUUUGUUUUUUUAUUAGUCUUCGUCGACAUUUGAUCCGAACGAGUGCCGUGUUGAUUCUAAUAAUAUUUAAUGUAUCAAUAAUUAUGUUAUUAAAUUAUAAUGAUAAGUACUCAUAUUUAAAUAUUUAAUUUAUAUUUUAGAUCCCGAAUGGAGCGAAGAAGCUUAUGGUUUUAUAAAGAUGUUUAUUUUCUCUUAUCUGCGAGCGACUUUUCAACCAGAAUACUUGCUCGGAUUUCUGAGUGUUGCACCUUUUCUGAAAGGAAAUCGGUGAGGAGAGGUACUUUAGAAAUAUUCUCAUAAAAUUUGAAAAACUGGGAUAAAACAUGGAAAAAACGUAGGAAAUCGAAAGGAAAAUCGGUACAACAUUAAACAAAUAUUAUUAAAGAAAAUGUAUAAAGCCUAUUUAUUUUAUUUUUUUUUUACUAUAAAAUGAC